UACAGUUAGAAUAAACUAAACUAAACAAAUUCAAUAAAAAGAGAGUAUGUAUAUGCAUAUUCAUUGCAUGGUGGAUCUACACAUGUUACAUGUAUACAUAUACCAAUGUGCCAUUACUUUAGGUAAGUAAUGGGCUUGCUAAAAAAUUGAAUAAGGGUUACAAUCUAAAUCGUAAAUUAUUCAUCAAAACAAAUCCGGAAUCACAA
rnacentral:misc_RNA from 1 species